UUGGCAUUGGGUCCUCAUGAUGGUUUAUCCCCAUAAGGAGACGGUAUAUGUGUUGGAUCCAUUGACUGACAGUUUUCAUGUUGAGGAGUGGAAGAGCAUUAUGACGAUGUAAGUUUUAUUACUCCUUCCGUCCCUGAAAUAAGUUCCGCUUUUUCCUUUUUGGGACGUCCCUCAAAUAAGUUCCUCUUUCUUUUUUUCCAUUUUUGGACAACUACCCCGCCACUAAUAAUACUUUAUUUAUUCUUACUUUUCACUUUUUCACCACUCCCAAUACUAAUUAUAACACUUUUUCACAUUUUCACCAAUCUCAAUACUAAUUACUCCCUCCGUCCCGCUAUUCAUGGCACGUAUUCCAUUUUGGGUUGUCCCAACAUAAAUGACACGUUUCCAUUUUGGGAAAUAAUAAGGGGUCACUUAACUUAAUUAAUCCCUCUCUAACUAUGCUAAUUACGGAUUUGAAGGGACCCUAAAACCAUUCCCUUUUUUUCAUCAUUUUCAAUUCAGCUCAUCAUUUUUCUCUCUAUCUCUCUCUUCGCCGGCUCAUCGUCUCCACCACUCUCCCACUCUUCACAACCCCCUUAACACAGUGCCAUCGGAGUGCACGACGGCGGAGUGCACGACGGCGGAGUGCGCCGCCCACACCGACUCCACCGCCUCCUAGGGCUCGUAGCAGCAGCAACAGCGGAGUGCGCCGUCCACGCCGACUUCACUGCCUCCUAGGGAUCGUAGCAGCGGCGACGGCGGAGUGCGCCGGCCACGCUGACUUCAUCGCCUCCUAGGGAUCGUAGCAGUGGCGACGGCGCGACUCCACAGACUCCAGCGACUUCACACGCCUCUCUGUACGAAUCGAGACCUAGAUCCCCAAUUUUUCUCGCUCAAAUCCCGGCGACAAUAGCCACGCCCCUGCCUCUCUCUCUCUCUCAUCCUGUCGGAUGGAUAACAGCGACUUCACGUUAUCGCCGAUGCCACCGGCGCUUACGGCCAAACACCUUCCCCUCAUUUUUAUUGGGUGUUUGCGAAUAAUUUUGAGUUUUGUUUUGUUGAUUUUAUUCAAGAAUCUCGUUUAUUCUGAAAUAUGGAAUUUCAAUCUUACUUGGAAAUUAGUUCUGAAAUCUUAUUUAGUGAAUAUGGUUCUUGAAUUUCGAUUUUUGGUUCUAAAAUUUGUUGAUUUUCAUCGAUUUUUGGUUCUGGAAAUUGUUGGAAUUGUUGGUUCUUAAAUUUAUCGAUUUUCGAUUCUGAAUUUUGUUGAUUCUGGAAUUUCGGUAUUGCUUGAAAAUAGGAAAAAUAAACAAUCCCUAAACACAAACUUAAACAUAUGAAUAACACAUCUUUUUCACCUAAUUUGCUCAUUCUUAAUCUCCGUGCCGAAAAGCAACGUGCCAUGAAUAGCGGGACGGAGGGAGUAUAACAUAUUUUUUUCCACUAUCAAUACACUUUACCACUUUUCCUUAAAACCCGUGCCGUCCCCAAAGAGGAACUUAUUUUGGGGACGGAGGGAGUAUUAUUUUUUAGAUUAAUUUAGAUUAUUUGUUUUUAAUGUAUAUUAUAAUAUGUGUAGAGCCAUAAAAAUGUUCAACAUGAGCAUAGGAAUAAGGGGGAGACAGAAUCUUUUGUGGGAAGUGAUCGAUGUAUGAAAUUCUUACCUUAAAAUUAUGUUUCACUUGGAUUAAAUAGUAUGUUUAGUUGUUUACUAGUAUUAUUAAAUGUGACAGAGUCCACAACAACCUGAUGGGAAGCAGUGUGGAUUCUAUGUUAUGCGAUACAUGAGAGAUGUUAUUGAUAAUAUUGUAUCUGAUCACUCUCUCCCAAUAAUUACACUGGUAAUUGUAAUUUAUAAUUUUUAUUAAAUUUUACUUCAAGACAAUUUCUAUAAUUUCAUAUUUGAUCACAAGUUUGUCUUUCUUAUAGUUUGCAGGAGGAUGCUACUCCAAAAAGGAAAUUGAUGAAGUAAGGAUAGAGUGGGCAUAAUUUGUAUGUAAAAUCACAGAUGAGUGAUGAUGGGUAAGUUUUAUAUAAAGUUAAUUUUUUAAUAUUUUUGAGAUAUAAGGUUAAUAAAUUUUAUAAAUUGAUACUUGAAAUAUUCUAAUAUUGCAGAUGGUGUAACUUGCUUGUUUUCGGUGUUUGCAGUUAUGUUUCAAUUAGUAGGAUGAUGAUGUUUGGAUUCUAAUGUAAUGUAGGAUGAUGAUGUUUGGAUUCUAAUGUAAUGUAGGGAUGAUGAUGUUGGAUUGUAUUGUAAUGUAGAAUGAUGAUGAUGGAUUAUAAUGUAUGAAUUUUAUUAUUAAUUUAUGUAUUUUUAGCUUUUCAUAUUAUAUUUUUAGAUUUA
rnacentral:lncRNA from 1 species